rnacentral:rRNA from 1 species
GAUGAACGCUGGCGGCGUGCCUAAUACAUGCAAGUCGAGCGAACGGACGAGAAGCUUGCUUCUCUGAUGUUAGCGGCGGACGGGUGAGUAACACGUGGAUAACCUACCUAUAAGACUGGGAUAACUUCGGGAAACCGGAGCUAAUACCGGAUAAUAUUUUGAACCGCAUGGUUCAAAAGUGAAAGACGGUCUUGCUGUCACUUAUAGAUGGAUCCGCGCUGCAUUAGCUAGUUGGUAAGGUAACGGCUUACCAAGGCGACGAUGCAUAGCCGAUCUGAGAGGAUGAUCGGCCACACUGGAACUGAGACACGGUCCAGACUCCUACGGGAGGCAGCAGUAGGGAAUCUUCCGCAAUGGGCGAAAGCCUGACGGAGCAACGCCGCGUGAGUGAUGAAGGUCUUCGGAUCGUAAAACUCUGUUAUUAGGGAAGAACAUAUGUGUAAGUAACUGUGCACAUCUUGACGGUACCUAAUCAGAAAGCCACGGCUAACUACGUG